rnacentral:rRNA from 1 species
AGCUGAAUGAUAGUCGGGCUGAAGACUCACUUGACUAGCUUGAGAGGAGGUGCAUGGCCGUCGUCAGUUCGUACUGUGAAGCAUCCUGUUAAGUCAGGCAACGAGCGAGACCCACGCCAACAGUUGCCAGCUCGUCCUCCGGGAUGGUGGGGACACUGUUGGGACCGCCUCUGCUAAAGAGGAGGAAGGAAUGGGCAACGGUAGGUCAGCAUGCCCCGAAUUAUCUGGGCUACACGCGGGCUACAAUGGGUGGGACAAUGGGUAUCGACACCGAAAGGCGAAGGCAAUCUCCUAGACCCAUCCGUAGUUCGGAUUGUGGGCUGCAACUCGCCCACAUGAAGCUGGAAUCUGUAGUAAUCGUGUCUCAAAAUGGCACGGUGAAUAUGUCCCUGCUCCUU